UACAGAGGUCUCAAGCGUUGUUCGGAUUCAUUGGGCGUAAAGGGUGCGUAGGUGGUGAGGUAAGUCGGAUGUGAAAGCUCGGAGCUCAACUCCGAAAUGGCAUUGGAAACUACCUUGCUCGAGGGUUGGAGGGGGGACUGGAAUACUUGGUGUAGCAGUGAAAUGCGUAGAUAUCAAGUGGAACACCAGUGGCGAAGGCGAGUCCCUGGACAACUCCUGACACUGAGGCACGAAAGCUAGGGGAGCAAACAGG
rnacentral:rRNA from 1 species